AAUCAACGCUGGCGGCGUGCCUCAGACAUGCAAGUCGAACGCGAAAGUUUCCUUCGGGGAACAAGUAGAGUGGCGCACGGGUGAGUAACACGUAGGUAAUCUACCUUUGGAUGGGGAAUAACAACCGGAAACGGUUGCUAAUACCGCAUAAUGCAGCGGCACCUAAUGGUGACAGUUGUUAAAGCGGGGGAUCGAAGACCUCGCGUCUGAAGAGGAGCCUGCGGCGGAUUAGCUAGUGGUAAGGUAAUGGCUUACCAAGGCGACGAUCCGUAACCGGCCUGAGAGGGCGGUCGGUCACACUGACACUGACAUACGGGUCAGACUCCUACGGGAGGCAGCAGUCGGGAAUUUUGGGCAAUGGGCGAAAGCCUGACCCAGCAACGCCGCGUGAAGGAUGAAAUCCCUCGGGA
rnacentral:rRNA from 1 species